rnacentral:rRNA from 1 species
GACGAACGCUGGCGGCGUGCUUAACACAUGCGAGUCGAACGGAAAGGCCCUUCGGGGUCCUCGAGUGGCGAACGGGUGAGUAACACGUGGGUGAUCUGCCCUGCACUUUGGGAUAAGCCUGGGAAACUGGGUCUAAUACCGAAUAGGACCACGCGCUUCAUGGUGUGUGGUGGAAAGCUUUUGCGGUGUGGGAUGGGCCCGCGGCCUAUCAGCUUGUUGGUGGGGUAAUGGCCUACCAAGGCGACGACGGGUAGCCGGCCUGAGAGGGUGACCGGCCACACUGGGACUGAGAUACGGCCCAGACUCCUACGGGAGGCAGCAGUGGGGAAUAUUGCACAAUGGGCGCAAGCCUGAUGCAGCGACGCCGCGUGAGGGAUGACGGCCUUCGGGUUGUAAACCUCUUUCAAUAGGGACGAAGCGCAAGUGACGGUACCUAUAGAAGAAGCACCGGCCAACUACGUG